rnacentral:rRNA from 1 species
GACGUAGGGCGCGAGCGUUGUCCGGAUUUAUUGGGCGUAAAGAGCUCGUAGGCGGUCUGUCGCGUCGGCUGUGAAAACCCGAGGCUCAACCUCGGGCCUGCAGUCGAUACGGGCAGACUAGAGUUCGGUAGGGGAGACUGGAAUUCCUGGUGUAGCGGUGAAAUGCGCAGAUAUCAGGAGGAACACCGGUCGGCGAAGGCGGGUCUCUGGGCCGAAACUGACGCUGAGGAGCGAAAGCGUGGGGAGCAAACAGG